rnacentral:rRNA from 1 species
AACUCCUACGGGGCGCAGCAGUGGGGAAUAUUGCACAAUGGGGGGAACCCUGAUGCAGCGACGCCGCGUGAGUGAAGAAGUAUUUCGGUAUGUAAAGCUCUGUCAGCAGGGAAGAAGAAAGACGGUACCUGACCAAGAAGCUCCGGCUAACUACGUGCCAGCAGCCGCGGUAAUACGUAGGGAGCAAGCGUUGUCCGGAAUUACUGGGCGUAAAGGGCGCGUAGGUGGGCGCUUAAGUCAGGUGUGAAAACUCCGGGCUCAACCUGGAGACUGCACUUGAAACUGGGUGUCUUGAGGGCAGGAGG